GGAUUAGAUACCCUGGUAGUCCACGCCCUAAACGAUGUGCACUAGAUUGUGGCUUCUCUGACGUUGUCACGGUCGAAGCAAAAGUGUUAAGUGCACCGCCUGGGGAGUACGGUCGCAAGAUUAAAACUCAAAGGAAUUGACGGGGGCUCACACAAGCGGUGGAGCAUGUUGCUUAAUUCGAAACAACGCGAAGAACCUUAUCCAGGGUUUGACAUGUAUGGAUUAGCUGUCUGAAAAGAGAGUGACGCGGUUUCCGUGGAACAUACACAGGUGCUGCAUGGCUGUCGUCAGCUCGUGCCG
rnacentral:rRNA from 1 species